GAAUUGCGAUAAUUAGUGAGAAAUGCAAUCAUAGAUCAUUGAGUUUUCGAAUGCACAUUGCACCAUUGGUUGUCAGUACCUUUGGUAUAUCUGGCUCAGGGUUGGUAUACAAAAACGAAUUUCUAGUUCAUUCGUUCAUCUGAGGAUAUUCUACACGAUGUCCUUUAGAGUCUUCGCGAUCAUUGGCCAUUCGAUUGGCACUUUGUUCGAAGAAUUGAUUUAUGCUGAGGCGCAUUUGAUCAGUAGGGCAUAUGUCGUGAAUCUGAAUUUUUCGCUUCUAUCUCGAAAGUCAUUGUGCAUUGUUGGCAAAAUUGAGAAGUCAACCUGAGCUCAGGUGUGAGUACCCGCUGAACUUAA
rnacentral:misc_RNA from 1 species